rnacentral:rRNA from 1 species
CUACCCGGGUAUCUAAUCCGGUUCGCUCCCCACGCUUUCGUGCCUCAGUGUCAGAAACAGCCCAGUAGCCUGCCUACGCCAUCGGUGUUCCUUCUAAUAUCUACGGAUUUCACUCCUACACUAGAAAUUCCAGCUACCUCUUCUGCUCUCGAGUUUAACAGUUCGAAUAAUAGUCUGAAUGGUUGAGCCACCAGAUUUCACUAUUCGCUUAUUAAACCACCUACGCAACUCUUUACGCCCAGUCACUCCGGAUAACGCUCGGAUCCUACGUAUUACCGCGGCGGCUGGCAC